AGCAGCCGCGGUAAUUCCAGCUCCAAUAGCGUAUAUUAAAGUUGUUGCAGUUAAAAAGCUCGUAGUUGAAUUUCGGGAUCAGAUUGUCGGUCGUGCCUCGGUACGCACUGGCAUUAUUGGUUCCUACCUUCUGAAGAACCGCGAUGUCAUUAAUUUGGUGUCGUGAGGAAUCAGGACUGUUACUUUGAAAAAAUUAGAGUGUUUAAAGCAGGCGCACGCUUGAAUACAUUAGCAUGGAAUAAUGAAAUAGGACGUUUGAUUCUAUUUUGUUGGUUUCUAGGAUCGACGUAAUGAUUAAUAGGGAUAGUUGGGGGCAUUAGUAUUCAAUUGUCAGAGGUGAAAUUCUUGGAUUUAUUGAAGACUAACUACUGCGAAAGCAUUUGCCAAGGAUGUUUUCAUUAAUCAAGAACGAAAGUUAGGGGAUCGAAGACGAUCAGAUACCGUCGUAGUCUUAACCAUAAACUAUGCCGACUAGGGAUCGGAUGAUGUUAAUUUUUUAAUGACUCAUUCGGCGCCUUACG
rnacentral:rRNA from 1 species